GUUUCACCUUAUCUGCAGUUUGGCUUACCCACCAUCCAAAAAAAUUAAAUGGAAAAUUCUAGAAAUAAACAAUUCAUAAGUUUUUAGUCAUGCACCGUUCUGAGUGGCCUGGGGAAAUCUCCUGCGCUCCUGCUCCACCUCGCCUUGGAUACAAAUCCUUCUUUUGUCCAGCAUAUCCACACUUUCUACCCACCCAUCUGUUAGUAACUUCAUAGCCGGCUCAAUUACCAGGUGGACUGCUGUGGUAUUGCAGUGCUUAUGUUCAAGUAACCCUUCUUUUACUUCAUCAUGGCCUCAAAGCACGAGAGUAGUGAUGCUGACAAUUUGGAUAUACCAAAGAGAAGCUGUAAAAUGCUUCCUUUCAGUGAAAAAGUGAAAGUUCUACAUUUAAUAAGAUGUCUUCUACGAACAUUUGUUUCCCAAACCAGAGAAACCCUUAUUCACUCAUUAACCAUUGGGAUUUUUGUUCAAAGGCCCAUGAAUUAUUGCUACUUUAAAUUUGCAAGCAAAUUUAUAAUUGGAUCCUGAUGUCCCAGCACCCAUAAAUAUUUUAUAAUAAUUGUACAAACAACACUUACAUUAAGGACAUGAACGAUUAAAAUAGGGAGACCCCCAUCUCUACCAAAAAAUAGGAAGAAGAAGAAGAAGAAGAAGAAGAAGAAGAAGAAGAAGAAG
rnacentral:lncRNA from 1 species